CAGCCGCCGCGGUAAUACCGGCGGCCCGAGUGGCGGUCACUAUUAUUGGGCUUAAAGCGUCCGUAGCCGGGUUGGGAAGUCCUCCGGGAAAUCUGGCCGCUUAACGGUCAGAAUGCCGGAGGAUACUCCCAGCCUAGGGGGCGGGGGAGGCCGAGGGUAUUCCCGGAGUAGGGGUGAAAUCCUAUAAUCCCGGGAGGACCACCUGUGGCGAAGGCGCUCGGCUGGAACGCGUCCGACGGUGAGGGACGAAGGCCAGGGGAGCAAACCGGAUUAGAUGCCCGGGUAGUCCUGGCUGUAAACGAUGCGGACUUUGUGUCGGACAAGCUAUGAGCUUGUCCGGUGCCGGAGGGAAACCGUUAAGUCCGCCGCCUGGGGAGUACGGCCGCAAGGCUGAAACUUAAAGGAAUUGGCGGG
rnacentral:rRNA from 1 species